AUUGAACGCUGGCGGCAGGCCUAACACAUGCAAGUCGAACGAGUGGCGGACGGGUGUGUAAUGUCUGGGAAACUGCCAGAUGGAGGGGGAUAACUCCUGGAAACGGUAGCUAAUACCGCAUACCAUCGGAUGUGCCCAGAUGGGAUUAGCUAGUAGGUGGGGUAAAGGCUCACCUAGGCGACGAUCCCUAGCUGGUCUGAGAGGAGUACCAGACACACUGGAACUGAGACGCGGUCCAGACUCCUACGGGAGGCAGCAGUGGGGAAUAUUGCACAAUGGGCGCAAGCCUGAUGCAGCCAUGCCGCGUGUAUGAAGAAGGCCUUCGGGUUGUAAAGUACUUUCAGCGGGGAGGCGUUACCCGCAGAAGAAGCACCGGCUAACUCCGUGCCAGCAGCCGCGGUAAUUC
rnacentral:rRNA from 1 species